AAGCACCCGAAGUGUAUAAUGUUGGGUGUAUUUUUUUCAGUUGGUUAAUGCCAAAACGGGAGUGGCUUCUCUACCUGCAAACCAUCAAAUCAUUCCAAAAUAGAAACCCUGCAUAUCUUCUUUUUUCUUCUUAGUUUUCAACGUGAUUCAACGCUCUGUUUUUUGUAUAUAACACAUACUUCAUACGGAGACGGAAGCCGAGGCCAAGCAAGAUGGACCCGAAAAAGAAGAAAGAAAUUAUUAGAUUGGAACGUGAAUCUGUCAUUCCCGUUCUCAAACCUAAGCUUAUCAUGACUUUGGCCAAUCUCAUUGAGCAUAAUUCUGACCGGGCUGAAUUUCUAAAGCUUUGCAAGAGAGUUGAGUACACAAUUAGAGCGUGGUAUCUUCUCCAAUUUGAGGAUUUCAUGCAACUAUACUCCCUCUUUGACCCUGUAACUGGGGCUGAGAAAUUGAAGCAACAGAACUUAUCUCCUGCCGAGAUUGAUGCACUUGAACAGAAUUUCCUUGCCUACUUAUUUCAGGUGAUGGAUAAGAGUAAUUUCAAAAUAACAACUGAUGAUGAGGUUGAUGUUGCACUUUCAGGGCAGUAUCUUCUAAAUCUUCCCAUCAGUGUUGAUGAGUCUAAGCUUGACGAGAAGCUUUUGAAGAGGUAUUUUGAAGAGCAUCCCCACGAAAACCUUCCAGAUUUUUCUGAUAAGUAUGUUAUCUUUCGACGUGGAAUUGGAAUUGAUCAGACUACUGAUUUCUUUUUCAUGGAGAAAGUGGACAUGCUCAUUGCACGCUUCUGGUCAUUUCUUUUGAGACGAACAAGGCUAGAUAAACUUUUCUUCAGGAGUUCAAGGAGGCGUAAGGACUCAAAGAAGGAUGAUGACAUAAAUUCUGAAGAUAUUCAAGAUGAUCUAUACAUUGAACGGCACUGUCUUGAAAAUAUGGAACUAAGUUUGCGCAAUUUGCUGACCAAGGUUACAAUCCAAGAGCCCACCUUUGAUAGGAUGAUUGUUGUUUACAGGAAAGCAAGUACAAAAUUAAAACCAGAUCGAGGAAUAUAUGUGAAACAUUUUAAAAACAUUCCGAUGGCUGAUAUGGAGAUAGCUCUUCCUGAAAAGAGAAAUCCAGGAUUAACUCCACUGGACUGGGUCACGUUCCUGGUCUCUGCUGUUGUUGGGCUGGUUGCUGUGAUUAGCUCCCUUGAAAUGAAUGAACGUGAUCUUUGGGUCAUUUUUGCUGUCCUUUCCACAGUGAUUGGUUACUGUGCUAAGACAUACUUCACAUUUCAGCAAAACUUGGCUGCAUAUCAGAAUUUAAUCACACAGUCCAUGUAUGACAAACAACUUGAUAGUGGAAAAGGCACUCUUCUUCACUUGUGUGAUGAUGUGAUCCAGCAAGAAGUGAAAGAGGUAAUUAUUUCAUUUUUUAUAUUGAUGGAACAGGGUAAAGCCACAAGGCAGGAUCUGGACAAGUUAUGUGAGGAUCUAAUCAAGGAAGAGUUUGGUGAAAGCUGCAAUUUUGAUGUGGAUGAUGCAGUUCAAAAGUUAGAGAAAUUAGGCAUUAUUUCUCGGGUGAGAUUUCUCCAUUCUCUUUGAAAUAGCAAGCUAAUUUGUUUUAUCUUGUUAGCACUCAGAGUAGGACUAACUGAAUUUUGGCCGUUUCUAUAUUUGCUCACCACCUUGAAAUUAUCAUCCCCUCCUGAGUUCCAACAAUGAUUAGAGUCAUCCCUUGAAGAGAGUUUGUGGCAUGGUGAUGGGAUUUCAAAAUUUUUUAAACAUAUUCCAAAGGGCUUUUCUAUGCCGUCCUUUAGUGGCUGGCAGGAUACGAUUGGUCGGUAUUUCUGUGUUCGGCUGAAACGUGCCAACGAGAUCAUUGGCACCACCACCGAGGAGCUCGUCCUUAAGGCAAAAAUGGGUGGCAGUACAACUUGAUGAUGUCCUAGGAAACUCAUACUAAAUCUUUUUCUAUCUAAAGUGAUUUCGGCAUCUGAAUUCUCAAGGUUGAGGGUCAAAUACAUUAAAGUUGAUAGGCUUUAACAGCACCUUGGACUGUUGAUGGUGCUAAAUUUCUUGUACAUUCAUCAUUUUUGUAAUUUUUAAGGUUAAUUUAUUUUUAUUUAUGUAUAAAAUAUGGGAGAAAUUCAUUAUUUACGUAUAAAAUCAUAAAUGGAUGAAAUAUUGUGAUA